AACGCUAGCUACAGGCUUAACACAUGCAAGUCGAGGGGCAUCAGGAAGAAAGCUUGCUUUCUUUGCUGGCGACCGGCGCACGGGUGAGUAACACGUAUCCAACCUGCCCUUUACUCGGGGAUAGCCUUUCGAAAGAAAGAUUAAUACCCGAUAGCAUAAUGAUUCCGCAUGGUUUCAUUAUUAAAGGAUUCCGGUAAAGGAUGGGGAUGCGUUCCAUUAGGUUGUUGGUGAGGUAACGGCCCACCAAGCCUUCGAUGGAUAGGGGUUCUGAGAGGAAGGUCCCCCACAUUGGAACUGAGACACGGUCCAAACUCCUACGGGAGGCAGCAGUGAGGAAUAUUGGUCAAUGGGCGCUAGCCUGAACCAGCCAAGUAGCGUGAAGGAUGAAGGCUCUAUGGGUCGUAAACUUCUUUUAUAUAAGAAUAAAGUGCAGUAUGUAUACUGUUUUGUAUGUAUUAUAUGAAUAAGGAUCGGCUAACUCCGUGCCAGCAGCCGCGGUAAUACGGAGGAUCCGAGCGUUAUCCGGAUUUAUUGGGUUUAAAGGGAGCGUAGGUGGACUGGUAAGUCAGUUGUGAAAGUUUGCGGCUCAACCGUAAAAUUGCAGUUGAUACUGUCAGUCUUGAGUACAGUAGAGGUGGGCGGAAUUCGUGGUGUAGCGGUGAAAUGCUUAGAUAUCACGAAGAACUCCGAUUGCGAAGGCAGCUCACUGGACUGCAACUGACACUGAUGCUCGAAAGUGUGGGUAUCAAACAGGAUUAGAUACCCUGGUAGUCCACACAGUAAACGAUGAAUACUCGCUGUUUGCGAUAUACAGUAAGCGGCCAAGCGAAAGCAUUAAGUAUUCCACCUGGGGAGUACGCCGGCAACGGUGAAACUCAAAGGAAUUGACGGGGGCCCGCACAAGCGGAGGAACAUGUGGUUUAAUUCGAUGAUACGCGAGGAACCUUACCCGGGCUUAAAUUGCAGUGGAAUGAUGUGGAAACAUGUCAGUGAGCAAUCACCGCUGUGAAGGUGCUGCAUGGUUGUCGUCAGCUCGUGCCGUGAGGUGUCGGCUUAAGUGCCAUAACGAGCGCAACCCUUAUCUUUAGUUACUAACAGGUUAUGCUGAGGACUCUAGAGAGACUGCCGUCGUAAGAUGUGAGGAAGGUGGGGAUGACGUCAAAUCAGCACGGCCCUUACGUCCGGGGCUACACACGUGUUACAAUGGGGGGGUACAGAAGGCAGCUAGCGGGUGACCGUAUGCUAAUCCCAAAAUCCUCUCUCAGUUCGGAUCGAAGUCUGCAACCCGACUUCGUGAAGCUGGAUUCGCUAGUAAUCGCGCAUCAGCCACGGCGCGGUGAAUACGUUCCCGGGCCUUGUACACACCGCCCGUCAAGCCAUGGGAGCCGGGGGUACCAGAAGUACGUAACCGCAAGGAUCGUCCUAGGGUAAAACUGG
rnacentral:rRNA from 1 species